AUUCAGUGAAUCAUCGAAUCUUUGAACGCACAUUGCGCCCGCCAGUAUUCUGGCGGGCAUGCCUGUCUGAGCGUCAUUU
rnacentral:rRNA from 1 species